UACGGGGGGAGCAAGCGUUGUUCGGAUUUACUGGGCGUAAAGGGCGCGUAGGCGGCAGAUCAAGUCAGCUGUGAAAUCUCCGAGCUUAACUCGGAACUGUCAGCUGAUACUGUUUUGCUAGAGUGCGGAAGGGGCAAUCGGAAUUCUUGGUGUAGCGGUGAAAUGCGUAGAUAUCAAGAGGAACACCUGAGGUGAAGACGGGUUGCUGGGCCGACACUGACGCUGAGUGCGCGAAAGCCAGGGGAGCAAACGGG
rnacentral:rRNA from 1 species